GGAAGACCCUGGCCUCCAUCUUGAAAACGGAAAAUAAAAACAGCAGACCUAUGAAGGUCGAAGGGGAAGAAAAGCUGUAUCGAUUGUUGAGAUCUGGCGACUUGUUUAAAUUUCAUCAGCCUCACUUCUAUGAACUCUCAGAGCUGAUUACCAACUCCUACCACUGUUAACCCUCAUCCAGGAACAAGCUUAUGUCUUUAACAUUCUGAGUGGGCUUCAGCAUCCUUGCAUAUGUUCAAUUCUUAAAAACCUGUUGAAAUAAAAGAUCAGGAGACAUAGGAAGGAUGCCAGAAGAGAGCGUGGCCUCACGUGUACCAGCUCUCUGCUCUCCUUUGCCUUGGGACGUUCCAUCCCUGGAAGUUUCCCUGCCCACAUCUUUGUAGAGAGUCCAUUCUCCAAGCUUCAGUGUGUCAUCUGUGAGGACCGUGACCCACCUGGUACAUCGCCUCAGGGCAUUCAUUUCAGGCUCCUUCUAAAUGGCCAAGAGACAACACCAACAUUUUUGUAAUGGCCUGCAAGGCCUUCCGAGAUCUACCUCCUGCAACUCAGCUUCUCCUGUGCUCUCCUUCUGGACUCACUCUGCCUCAGCAACACUGGUCCCUGUUGCCCCACCAAUAUGCCAGCUGCACUGAUGAGGAAACUGAAACAGAAAAUCCAGAGUAAAUUCCACCAGGCCACACAGCAAGGUCUGAUAGAGCCAGGAGAGACUUUAUGAAAUCCAGACUCUCACACUAAUGCUCUAUCAGCUAGACCUCCAUGUGAGUCUCCCCAAUGUAGGUAGGAAGUGCUUUCCCUAAAAUGCUCAUAAAGCAAAUCAGAGCAAUGCUGCAUUCCAUGUGAUUUCUAAUUUGAAAUGCAAACAAUUGCCAAUUUGUUUGACUUGUAUUUAUAAUUAUUUCCUUGUGAAUUACUCAUCACUAAAUGCUUUAUAAAUAUUUUCUCUUUUUUUCCUCAAUGUCUAUGGAAUGAUCACAGCAUAGAAAAUGUUGGCUUUCAAGGAUUUAUUAAUAUCUCCUUUUGAAAUAACAUGUAUUUGUAAGACAGAAUAAAAUCACUUUAAAGAAACAAAUCUUGAA
rnacentral:lncRNA from 1 species